AUUGAACGCUGGCGGCAGGCCUAACACAUGCAAGUCGAGCGAGCGGCGGACGGGUGAGUAAUGUCUGGGAAACUGCCUGAUGGAGGGGGAUAACUACUGGAAACGGUAGCUAAUACCGCAUACCAUCAGAUGUGCCCCAAUGGGAUUCGAUAGUAGGUGGGGUAACGGCUCACCUAGGCGACGAUCCCUAGAUGGUCUGAGAGGAUGACCAGCAACACUGGAACUGAGAGGUGGGCCGGACUCCUAGUGGAGGCAGCAGUGGGGAAUAUUUCACAAUGUGCGCAAGCCUGAGGCAGCCUUGCCGCGUGUGUGACGAGGGCCUUAGGGUUGUAAAGCCCUUUCAGCGGGGCGGCGUUCCCCGCAGGAGAAGCACCGGCUCACUCCGUGCCAGCAGCCGCGGUCAUAC
rnacentral:rRNA from 1 species